rnacentral:miRNA from 13 species
UCCGUGCAGAGCACUAUACUAAG